UGGGGAAUAUUGCACAAUGGGCGAAAGCCUGGUGCAGCGACGCCGCGUGAGGGAUGACGGCCUUCGGGUUGUAAACCUCUUUCAGCAGGGACGAAGCGCAAGUGACGGUACCUGCAGAAGAAGCACCGGCUAACUACGUGCCAGCAGCCGCGGUAAUACGUAGGUGGCGAGCGUUAUCCGGAUUUACUGGGCGUAAAGCGUGUGCAGACUGACUAGCAAGUGGUGUAUGAAAUCGCGGUGCUUAACACAGCGAGGUUAUGCCAGACUGCUGGACUAGAGUGCGAGAGAGGGAUGUGGAAUUCCGGGUGUAGUGGUGAAAUGCGUAGAGAUCCGGAGGAACCCCAGAGGCGAAAGCGGCGUCCUGGCUCGCAACUGACGUUCAGACACGACAGCAUGGGGAGCAAACGGGAUUAGAUACCCGAGUAGUCCCUGAGCGGGCUGGCAAGGCGCAU
rnacentral:rRNA from 1 species